rnacentral:ncRNA from 1 species
GGCUAGAAUUGAGGCAAAAUACAUGGUUAUUUCUCUUAAACAACAUAUAACGAUUGAAGCCUCGUUGAACGACGGGUGUACCUAUAACAGUCCUAAGGUAGUAAAAUUCCUUGUCAGGUAAGUUUUGACCUGCACGAAA